rnacentral:rRNA from 1 species
AGUGAACGCUGGCGGUAGGCCUAACACAUGCAAGUCGAACGGCAGCACAGUAAGAGCUUGCUCUUACGGGUGGCGAGUGGCGGACGGGUGAGGAAUACAUCGGAAUCUACUUUUUCGUGGGGGAUAUCGUAGGGAAACUUACGCUAAUACCGCAUACGACCUACGGGUGAAAGCAGGGGAUCUUCGGACCUUGCGCGAUUGAAUGAGCCGAUGUCGGAUUAGCUAGUUGGCGGGGUAAAGGCCCACCAAGGCGACGAUCCGUAGCUGGUCUGAGAGGAUGAUCAGCCACACUGGAACUGAGACACGGUCCAGACUCCUACGGGAGGCAGCAGUGGGGAAUAUUGGACAAUGGGCGCAAGCCUGAUCCAGCCAUACCGCGUGGGUGAAGAAGGCCUUCGGGUUGUAAAGCCCUUUUGUCGGGAAAGAAAAGCAGCAGGUUAAUACCCCGCUGUUCUGACGGUACCCAAAGAAUAAGCACCGGCUAACUUCGUG